rnacentral:rRNA from 1 species
GGGCGUGAGUCCUUCGUAGGCGUGCCUGCGGAGGAUCAUUA